rnacentral:lncRNA from 1 species
CACAACAAAAAAAUCAUGUAGUGCUUUUUAUUAAACAUACUGGAAUUUGGAGAACUUUAACACCUGUGGUAUCUGUGCUUUCCCCACAGAAGACAUGAACAGUUAUCCUUCACCUGAACUUCAAGAAGAGUGUGAAAACUUAGAUCAGGGAGAUGCACAACAGCAAGUGUCUGUGAUUGAAAGGAUGCCUUUUCCUGGAACUGAUGAAACUGGUUAUGGUUUAGAAGACACUGAAAGAACUGAGAGUAGAGUCUUGGGGAAUAUUAGAGAGACAGCCACAGAACCUGUAUACACAAUGCCAGAAAUGAGAUAUGAUUAUGAGGAGAACAACUGUUUCACAGAGGAAGAUGCUGACGGAGAAAAGCCACAAGACUAUGGAGAAGCUCAGGAGAAUGAGGAAAAUUUGGAGGCAACAGUAGAAACUAGACCUUCCUGUAGUGAUUAUGGUAUGACUUUAGAAUAUGAAAAUAUUUUUUAAUUCAGUAAAAAGACUCUAAAUUGUGGAGGGGUCGGUUGAACAGUUAUGCAGUAUGAGGCAUUUCCAUUGAUUAUGUUUUCUAAAGCGUUUUGUCACUAUAUGUUUGUAUUCAGUCCAAAUCUAUACAGCAGAGUUUGUAAUUAAAGGCUUAAUUGCAAGUGUCAUUAUGAUCUUAUCUUUGAUUUGUAACUUUUUGUAAUAAUAUAAUAUAAAGUUCUAAUCCUCUUCACUAAAACAGCUGAUCAUUUUAAAUCCCCAAGUUUUACUAUAGCUACUGAGUUACUCCUGCUGCUAACUUAACUCAACAUGAAGGAUCUAAAUAUGUCUACAGUCUGUUCCUGUAGGAAGAGCAGGAUCCCUUAGUAGAGGUAUCCUAUCAAAAUACAUAUUCUUCAUAUUUUUUACUUUACUUCCUAAUUAUGCCUUUUUCUUUGCAGAUUUGCUAUUUGAUACAAUAGGUAUGGGAUGCUGAUAGUGAGAUAAUUGGUCGUGAAUGUUCGUAUAACACUGAGCGUUUUUAUUGUUUAAACUACAAUUGGAGAGAAUUUCUGUGGAAAAAAAAAAAAGUGUCUGCAUAGCUCUGGGUGUGGUAGCUCAUUGCUAUGCCAUCCCUUUCUUUUUCAUCUCUCUCCACUCAAAAAUAAUUCUGGGAACGUCCGGUAACCCCACUCCUGACGAGAGAGGACCAAUGCUUUUAAAAAGCUGUUUUAAUGUUGGAUCUUUAAUUAAGAGCUAAUGUACCUCUGGGAAUGCCAUACAUCCACAGUGCAUGACAGGCUUGCCGAGCACAGGUGGAAUGUGUCCUGUCACGUAACUGCAUGUGUAAAAUCUUGAAUCAGUGCUUCCAUUAACCAAUUCAUGAACUCUGUGGUCACACAGAAAAUUAAGUAGCACACAUUACUGUUUAUACUUUACAAAUAAAGUAUUUCCUGUGGCUUAGGGACA